AUACGGAGGGUGCAAGCGUUGUUCGGAUUUAUUGGGUUUAAAGGGUACGUAGGCGGCCUAUUAAGUCAGUGGUGAAAUCCUACAGCUCAACUGUAGGGGUGCCAUUGAUACUGAUUGGCUUGAGUACUGUUAAGGUAGGCGGAAUUGAUGGUGUAGCGGUGAAAUGCAUAGAUACCAUCAGGAACACCGAUUGCGAAGGCAGCUUACUGGGCAGUAACUGACGCUAAGGUACGAAAGCGUGGGGAGCGAACAGGAUUAGAAACCCCCGGUAGUCC
rnacentral:rRNA from 1 species